rnacentral:rRNA from 1 species
CCUACGGGAGGCAGCAGUGGGGAAUAUUGGGCAAUGGGCGCAAGCCUGACCCAGCAACGCCGCGUGAAGGAAGAAGGCUUUCGGGUUGUAAACUUCUUUUCUCAGGGACGAGGAAAGUGACGUUACCUGAGGAAUAAGCCACGGCUAACUCCGUGCCAGCAGCCGCGUUAAUACGUAGGGGGCAAGCGUUAUCCGGAUUUACUGGGUGUAAGGGGCGUGUAGGCGGGGAAGCAAGUCAGAUGUGAAAACCACGGGCUCAACCUGUGGCCUGCAUUUGAAACUGUUGUUCUUGAGUACCGGAGAGGCAGACGGAAUUCCUAGUGUAGCGGUGAAAUGCGUAGAUAUUAGGAGGAACACCAGUGGCGAAGGCGGUCUGCUGGACGACAACUGACGCUGAGGCGCGAAAGCGUGGGGAGCAAACAGGAUUAGAUACCCGGGUAGUC